CUUUGAAAGGAAUCACAGACUCGGUGAGUCUAAUUCUGUUAGGACCAUCUCCCUUACCUUGAUACUAAUCACCUAGUUAUCCAUGGAUCACAUGUAAUGAAGCUCCAUCCCUUUCAGCUAUGCUGGCAGAGCUGUUGCUAUCACGACCACUUCAAACUGGUUCCCUUUUGUCUCCUAGAGUCUAGGACUCUUUUGGCUGUACUAGGUGGCAUUAGUCCACAUCUUCCCUUUAUAUUUGUACUUCCAAGCCAUUGGCAGGAUAUCAAUGAAAUUAUGCAUCUCUAAAACUCCUUUCUCUUCUCUCCUUUUCUCUGUAACUUCCUCUUAACCAGUUUGGUUCUACCAUCUGGUAUCAGAGCCAUCAUGGCUCCGGCAAGGACGGUACAAGUCUCUGUGCCCUCCACCACCCCUCCAAAUUCCGCCUUUGUACAACCACUCCCUCAAGAUGAAAACACCGGUAUCUUAACUUCUUCAUCUUAUGAACCCGAAGAAGUAACUCAAACCCAUCUUGCUGAAGUAAGGCAGGGUAUGGAAAUCUUGCGUGAGGAAAUGCAAGAAGCUGCAGUCUCAGCCACGUCCCAGCAACGUGCCUUUGAAAAUCGCAUCACAGCUCACCUCGCAGCCAUGCAAAACACCAUGGUGCAAUGCCUAGUGCACCGCCAGCCCCCACCACAUUCAACACCACCCGGUUCCUCAUCUUUCCCAGAAAUCACCUUCGGCAGCCUCUCUGACGCAGGUCCUCCCCCUCCCUCCCACACCAUUUCCAAAUCAACUCACCAUUCACCAAGGUUCCCCACAUACUCCAACCCUCACAGUCACACCACCCGUUGAAGCCACCAUCACAUCCUUCCCUCCACUUCCCCUGCCUACCUCUACUACCCAUGUAACCCCACCACUCAACCUUAUACCCGUCCCUGACCUCAACCACCUCUUCGCACAACAACAACAACAACCCAAUCCUACAAACCAACUGCCCCACCAACCUAUUGCUGCGAAUGGCCACCCCUUCUACCGGCCUCCAAAGAUCGACCUUCCCCGAUUCAUGGGUGAUGAUGCAAUAGGUUGGUUCGCCAUGGCUGAGCGAUACAUCCGUGGCCAACAAAUUCCGGCCGGUGAGCGCAUCGCUAUCCUCGCUUCCUACUUCGGACCAACUCCAUCUCUAUGGAUGAAUUUCUUUGAGCAAAGGAACCCAAACGCCACCUGGGAACAAUUUGUAGCAGCCUUUCUGGAGCAUUUCGGAGGAAGCACUGGUUCCGAUUACAAGGCAGCCCUCUCCCAUUUACAGCAGAAAACCACGGUGGAUGCCUUUAUCUCGGAAUUCACACUGUUAGCGUGCCGGGUACCGGAGUGGUCAGAUGCCGACUUGGUUCCCAUGUUCAUCGGCGGAUUGAAAUCUGAAAUCCAACAAGACGUUGCUGUGAUGGAACCACGUUCCCUGGCAGUGGCUCAGCGCAUAGCCCGACGCUAUGAGAUGAAGCUACAAGACAAUCGCCCUUCCUGUUCAGUUCAUCCGUUUCCUUGGCAUUCCUCCAACAGACAACACAAUCCUCCAUCAGCCACGUUCCUACCCCAGAACCAACUCACCAAUCCAAACAGCCAUUCCCUGUCCCCAUCCAUCUCCACUCCCCACAAACCUUCCACUGACCAAUCUAGCAAAUGGUGGCCUUCUAGUGCACAAAGAGAGCGCCGAAACCAAGGCCUCUGCUUCCAUUGUGAUGAGAAGUGGUCCAAAUCCCACGUGUGCAAAAAUCCGGUCAUGGCAAUUCUUGACUCCCUAACACCAUGUGGCCAACCCGAAGUUGAAGAGGCAAGUGACGAGGCUAACGACAUACCUUUGGAUCAGGACCACCACUUACCCUUGCAUGCUAUCACCAAUACCAACGUCAGCGAGAUGCUACGUUUCACGGGCACAGUGAAUGGCCACCCCAUCAACAUCUUUGUCGAUUGCGGUUCGGCAAUGAAUUUUCUGAACCCGGAGAUUGCGACCAAGAUCGGCUGUACCAUAGCUCCUCCAGGUGAUCACCGAUUCAAAACGGCGACGGGCCAACCGGUUCGGGACUCUGGUACUGCGCAAGACGUCACCGUCACCAUUCAAGGGUAUGAAUUUGUUGAUUCCUUUUUGUUGAUGGCUGUCACCGAUUGUGACUUGUUACUGGGAGCACAAUGGCUCGACACUCUCGGCUUCAUAGGGCUGCAUUUCGCUGAAAAAGUAAUGGCCUUCACAGCCAAUGGCCGCUGCCAUGUUUUGCACGGCAUCAAAGGCAGGACACACGAGCUAGAUGAACAGGCACUCUAUGCCAUGUUAUCUCAGGAGCAAUUGGAUGAUCUCCACUCAUUUCCCAAGCCCAAACUCACACCACUCCAAGCCCAUCACCCAAAGGUCCAACAAGUACUUGAGUCAUUCCAAGAUUUAUUCACUCCACCCACAAACCUCCCACCGAAACGUCCCAUAGAUCACUGCAUUCCACUUCAACCAAACACCGGUCCCAUUAAUGUGCGACCUUACCCAUAUGGCCAUUCCCAAAAGAAUGAGUUGGAGGCUCAAGUCCGUGAGAUGCUAUCCCAAGGCAUAAUUCGUCCAAGUCGAAGCCCAUUCUCAUCUCCUGUACUCCUUGUGCGUAAGAAAGACAAGACUUGGCGCUUUUGCGUAGACUAUCGCGCCUGGAAUGCUGCCACCAUCAAAGAUCGGUUCCCAAUUCCGGUCGUUGAUGAACUUUUAGAUGAGCUUCAUGGUGCCACUAUCUUCACCAAACUUGAUCUCCGAGCCGGCUACCACCAAGUUCGUAUGAACGAAGAUGACAUCUACAAAACCGCCUUCCGUACUCACGAAGGCCAUUAUGAGUUCUUGGUAAUGCCUUUCGGUCUCUCUAAUGCACCCUCCACUUUCCAAGCUUUGAUGAAUGAGUUGUUUAAACCAUUAUUGCGCAAAGGUGUCCUUGUUUUCUUUGAUGACAUCUUAAUUUAUAGCAAAGAUUUAGAAUCUCAUGUUCGACACCUUGAGGAGGUCUUCCACAUCCUUCGGCAGAAUCUACUGAAGCUCAAGGAAUCAAAGUGUGUCUUCGCUCAACCACAAGUGCAAUAUUUGGGCCAUGUCAUAUCAGGCAAGGGAGUGGCAGCAGACCCAGAGAAAAUCAAUUCCUUGGUACACUGGCCCAAGCCCACUUCAGUCAAAGCCCUACGCGGCUUCCUCGGUCUCGCCGGCUAUUACAGGCGAUUGGUGCGCCAUUUCGGGACUAUAGCCAAGCCCUUAACUGACCUCCUCAAGCGCAACCAGUUUCUCUGGUCGCCAAGGGCAGAAGAGGCCUUCAAUCAGCUCAAGUCAGCAGUGACAACAGCGCCGGUGUUAGCUUUGCCCGAUUUCUCCAAACCGUUUGUGGUGGAAACAGACACCUGCGGUUCCGGCAUCGGCGCCGUCCUCUCACAGGAGAAACGACCGGUGGCUUACCUCAGCAAGGCCCUCUCUCCUUCUCACCAGACGCUAUCCACAUAUGACAAAGAGAUGAUGGCUAUCCUCUUUGCAGUUGGCAAGUGGCGGCACUACCUGUUGGGAAAUCGGUUCACCAUCCUUACCGAUCACCAAACCUUGCGCCAUCUUCUCACGCAAAGGAUCUCGACCCCCUCUCAACACCGAUGGCUUUCGAAACUGUUGGGAUAUGAUUAUGAGAUUGUGUAUCAAGCAGGCUCCCAGAACACGGUUCCGGAUGCGUUGUCACGUCAGUUUGAGGUAUGCGCAAUACACUCCAUAUCUGCCCCAGUGUUUGAUUUCAUUGGUCAAAUUGAUAACGCUUGUCUCCGAGAUCCCGAAGCUCAGGCUGUGGUUCAAGCCUUGAAGGCAGGGCAGCCAACCAAAUCCGGGUUCACUUUGUGUCUUAACAGGCUGCAUUAUAAGGGGCGGCCAUUUGUCCCAAGCUCCUUCGAGUGGCGAGCCAAGCUGCUAUAUGAGUUCCAUUCCUCCCUACAGGCCGGUCACUCAGGGUACUUGCGUACUUACGAACGCAUUCGGCGCAAUUUUGCUUGGCCAGGGAUGCGUAGAACCAUCAAACAUUACAUUGCCGCUUGUGAUCAAUGUCAGCGGUAGUCCUAUGAGACAAUCCGGCCACCCGGACUACUUCAACCACUGCUGGUCCCAGAUGAAGUUUUUACCGACAUAUCCAUGGACUUCAUUAACGGUUUACCGCAAUCACAAGGUCACAACGCGAUCAUGGUCGUGGUUGAUCGCCUCUCCAAAUAUGCUCACUUCAUUCCGGUCUCCCAUCCCUACUCAGCCUCCGGCAUUGCUUCAAUUUUCACUAAGGAGAUUUUCAGGCUCCAUGGCACACCUAAGAGGAUUGUUAGUGAUCGAGACCCCAUCUUCAUCAGUCAUUUCUGGCGCACCUUCCAUCGACUACAAGGAACACAGCUAUGCCACAGCUCCGCUUAUCAUCCCCAAUCCGAUGGCUAAACCGAGGUCGUCAAUCGAUCCUUGGAGCACUACUUGCGCUGCUAUGUAGCCGACAGGCCUUCUUCAUGGGCUGAACUACUCCAUUGGGCGGAAUGGUGGUAUAACACCACAUUUCACUCCUCCAUCCGUAUGACACCGUUUGAAGCACUCUAUGGCAAGCCUCCCCCGUCGAUCACAAGGUAUCUACCGGGUUCUACUGCUGUCCAUAACACGGAUGUGGCACUUCGCAGCCGUGAUCAACUGCUAUCCCAACUCAAACACAACUUGGAAUUGGUCCGCAACCGAAUGAAGCAGCAAGCUGAUAAGCAACGGACUGAGAGAGAAUUUCAGGUCAAUGAUUGGAUGUUUCUCAAGCUGCACCCCUACCGACAACAAUCUGUUGUCAAGCGUCCUGCCCAUAAGCUAGCACCACGCUUUUACGGUCCAUUUUGGGUCCUCGAAAAGAUUGGUUCAGUUGCAUAUCGCUUGGCUCUCCUAGCUUCCUCUAAGAUCCACCCGACCUUCCAUGUGUCACUCCUAAAAAAGAGGGUCGGCGAUGGUGAACCGGUGUCCACUACACUGCCGCCGUUUGACGACCAUGGAGAGUUACUGUGGACACCCGAGCGGGUACUUGACAUGGCUGUACAACGCCGGAUGAAGAGGAAUGUCACCAUGUGGCUUGUCCAAUGGCAAGGACUUCCAGCUGAAGAUGCCACUUGGGAAGUAGCUCACUUACUCCGAGCUAAGUUUCCCAACUUUGGCGCUUGAGGACAAGCACCAUCUUGAGGGGGUGGGACUUGUUAGGACCAUCUCCCUUACCUUGAUACUAAUCACCUAGUUAUCCAUGGAUCACAUGUAAUGAAGCUCCAUCCCUUUCAGCUAUGCUGGCAGAGCUGUUGCUAUCACGACCACUUCAAACUGGUUCCCUUUUGUCUCCUAGAGUCUAGGACUCUUUUGGCUGUACUAGGUGGCAUUUGAUGAGCACAUUUUAUAUCAUAUUAUUAUCCCUAAUUUAUAUGUGUUAGUUAUUUGCCUUUAAUUAGUUUGAGUUAUUUAGUUUGUUUUUGUGUUCUUAUAGAUGUUUUGUCUAAAUAAAUAAAAUGUUAAAGUUAUGGAAGCAAUUUACUUAUUUUCAUAUAGUAAAUUAAGUCUUUGUUUUAACAUGAGUCUUUUUCCCUUUAAUUAGAUGAAUAAUUGCAACACAUGUUCUUCUUAUUCUAGUAGCAUGUAUGCAUAUAUGCAUGUGUUAAAUUGGUGGA
rnacentral:lncRNA from 1 species